GCCCGGGUGGUGGAAUGGUAGACACUCAAGACUUAAAAUCUUGUGAGGUUAAAACCUCGUGCGAGUUCGAAUCUCGCCCCGGGUA
rnacentral:tRNA from 1 species